rnacentral:lncRNA from 1 species
AUGUUUGUUUUUUUAUUCAGUGAUUCAGAUAGUUCAUCAACUACACUCUUCUCUUCAUCUUCAUCUUCAGCAGUAUCUGAUGAAGAUGAUCAUCCAAAUGAGAAGGAUAACAGAUCUUACUGUCCUAGGACAAAGGAUGAGUUGCCUAUUGAGAAAUUGCCUCCUGUUGAAGACUUAUCAAUAAUUCUUCCAGAUAAUGUUGAACUGAAGCUUUUUGGGACAGUUUCCAGUGUCAUUGAGCAGCUAGGAAGCUGGGAGGAGAGUGUUGAAAGUAGUAAUCUGGUUCUUUUCCACUUUGCCCUUUCUUGCAUAUUGAUAAUGAUGGGGACUUCAAGAAGGCUGCCUUGUAGUUUGAAAACAACUUUUAAAGACGAGUUGAAUCAUACUUGCUAUUAUUCUUACUUUUGGUUUAAAAUGUGAAGCUAUAAACAAAACUGUUUUAAAGACUGCAGUUUUGAAAGCCAUCCUUAAUUCUAAUCCUUACUGGUGAGUAUAAUGUUUUCAAACACCAGUUUACUGGUAGGUGAAUUCUUCAGAUUGCAUCCUACUUUAUGUAAUGUACAUGUAUAAAGUGUUGAAUUAGAUUUGUUGGUGGAAGUUAGAGAACAAGCUAAUAAUCAUACUGAAAUAAACCCAUAUGAAUACAUGGUAUAAGCCUCCA